rnacentral:rRNA from 1 species
GAUCCUGGCUCAGGAUGAACGCUAGCUACAGGCUUAACACAUGCAAGUCGAGGGGCAGCAUUUUAGUUUGCUUGCAAACUAAAGAUGGCGACCGGCGCACGGGUGAGUAACACGUAUCCAACCUGCCGAUAACUCGGGGAUAGCCUUUCGAAAGAAAGAUUAAUAUCCGAUAGUAUAUUAAAACCGCAUGGGUUUUACUAUUAAAGAAUUUCGGUUAUCGAUGGGGAUGCGUUCCGAUUAGGUUUGUUGGCGGGGUAACGGCCC